rnacentral:rRNA from 1 species
GAUGAACGCUGGCGGCGUGCCUAACACAUGCAAGUCGAGCGAGAAACCAUCGAUUGAAACUUCGGUAGAUAUUGAAGGCGGAAAGCGGCGGACGGGUGAGUAACGCGUAGGCAACCUGCCCUUUGCAGAGGGAUAGCAACGGGAAACUGUUAUUAAAACCUCAUAAUACCGACAUGUCAAAUGACAAGACGGUCAAAGAUUUAUCGGCAAAGGAUGGGCCUGCGUCCGAUUAGUUAGUUGGUAGGGUAACGGCCUACCAAGGCAGCGAUCAGUAGCCGACCUGAGAGGGUGAUCGGCCACAUUGGAACUGAGACACGGUCCAAACUCCUACGGGAGGCAGCAGUGGGGAAUAUUGCACAAUGGGCGAAAGCCUGAUGCAGCAACGCCGCGUGAAGGAUGAAGGCCUUUGGGUCGUAAACUUCUGUCCUUGGGGAAGAAAAAAAUGACGGUACCCCUGGAGGAAGUCCCGGCUAACUACGUGCCAGCCGCCGCCGUAA